GACGGAGGGUGCAAACGUUGUUCGGAUUUACUGGGCGUAAAGGGCGCGUAGGCGGCGUGGUAAGUCACUUGUGAAAUCUCUGAGCUUAACUCAGAACGGCCAAGUGAUACUGCUGUGCUAGAGUGCAGAAGGGGCAAUCGGAAUUCUUGGUGUAGCGGUGAAAUGCGUAGAUAUCAAGAGGAACACCUGAGGUGAAGACGGGUUGCUGGGCUGACACUGACGCUGAGGCGCGAAAGCCAGGGGAGCAAACGGG
rnacentral:rRNA from 1 species